rnacentral:rRNA from 1 species
GACGAACGCUGGCGGCGUGCUUAACACAUGCAAGUCGAGCGGCGCGGCGAACGGGUGAGUAACGCGUGAGUAACUGCCCCCCUCUCUGGGAUAACAGUUGGAAACGGCUGCUAAUACCGGAUAGUGGGGGAUGACUCGCGUCCUAUCAGCUUGUUGGUGGGGUAGUGGCCUCCCAAGGCGACGACGGGUAGCAGGCCUGCGAGGGCGAUCGGCCACAUUGGGCUGAGAUACGGCCGAAAGUCAGACGGGGGGCAGCAGUGGGGAAUAUUGCACAAUGGGGGAAACCCUGAGGCAGAAACGCCGGGUGCGGGAGGACGGCCGUCGGGUUGUAAACCGCUUUCAGCCAGUACGCGGUAGUGGCAGAAGAAGCACCGGCUAACUACGUGCCAGCAGCCGCGGUAAUAC